rnacentral:snoRNA from 1 species
AAGCCAUGAUGUGGGCAUUGAGACCAAUAGCCCUUGAAUUUCUCCCAUGCUUCACUAAAUCCCUCUAGGUUCUUCUGCUGAAAGCUAGAGAUCUCAUUCCUGAUCUU